UUAGCAUAGCCCCGCCCCCACCACGCGGUUCCCCGCUCGCGGGUGGCCAGCGGCGAUGCCACUCAGCGUCCCACCUCCUGGCCCCGCCCACGCUGCGAGCCCCGCCCCCUCGCCUGGGCGCAGCCUACCCCGCUGCCUGCCCCGCUCCCCGCCCCUCCCGGGGCCUCCCGCCGUCCGGGCUCCUGAUUGGCCGCGCUGCCUGCCAGUGCCCGUCCCCCGGGCUCCGGCCCCGCCCCCGGAGGGAGCGGGCGCUUGCCGGCUAGGCGGCGGGUUCGGCUGCGCGGCGAGGCUGAGGCGGCCGCGGCGGCCAGAGCUCAGGGAGGCUUCCUGUGUGGUGUGUGCCAUUCCUCCAACAAAAUAUCCACCAUGCACCUCCGCUGAGAGUCUGAGAAGGAAACCCUGCAGGGCCUUGAAGUGGUGAUGUGGGAUCUCUCUGUGGGGAGUCAACAGACUUUCUGUAAAGGGCCAGAGGGUAAGUAUUUUCAGCUUUGCAGGCCAGAGGUCUUUGUUGCAGUUCCUGGGUUCUGCCUUUGUAGGUACAGAUGUGCCAUAGAUGAUGUAUAUGUGAAUGGGCAUGGCUGUGUCUGAAUAAAACUUUAUUUAUGAAGUGAGUGGUGGGCCA
rnacentral:lncRNA from 12 species